GUCAAUUAGCAAUUUUCAAUAUCUCUAUUUCAAUUAUCAAUAUUCAGCAUUGUAAAGAAAGCUGCUAAGGCUUCAUUUUUGUCAUAUUAGAAAAAUGGUUGGGCGCGGUAGCUCACACCUGUAAUCCUAGCACUUUGGGAGGCCGAGGCAGGCAGAUCUUUUGAGGUCAGUAGUU